UGGGGAAUAUUGCACAAUGGGGGAAUCCCUGAUGCAGCGACGCCGCGUGAACGAAGAAGGUAUUCGUAUCGUAAAGUUCUGUCCUAUGGGAAGAUAAUGACAGUACCAUAGAAGAAAGCUCCGGCUAAAUACGUGCCAGCAGCCGCGGUAAUACGUAUGGAGCGAGCGUUGUCCGGAAUUAUUGGGCGUAAAGGGUACGCAGGCGGUUUAAUAAGUCGAAUGUUAAAGAUCGGGGCUCAACCCCGCAAAGCAUUGGAAACUGAUAAACUUGAGUAGUGGAGAGGAAAGUGGAAUUCCUAGUGUAGUGGUGAAAUACGUAGAUAUUAGGAGGAAUACCAGUAGCGAAGGCGACUUUCUGGACACAAACUGACGCUGAGGUACGAAAGCGUGGGGAGCAAACAGG
rnacentral:rRNA from 1 species